UACGUAGGUGGCAAGCGUUAUUCGGAAUUAUUGGGCGUAAAGAGCGCGCAGGUGGUUGAUUAAGUCUGAUGUGAAAGCCCACGGCUUAACCGUGGAGGGUCAUUGGAAACUGGUCGACUUGAGUGCAGAAGAGGGAAGUGGAAUUCCAUGUGUAGCGGUGAAAUGCGUAGAGAUAUGGAGGAACACCAGUGGCGAAGGCGGCUUCCUGGUCUGUAACUGACACUGAGGCGCGAAAGCGUGGGGAGCAAACAGGAUUAGAUACCCG
rnacentral:rRNA from 1 species